rnacentral:rRNA from 1 species
GGAUCUUAGGACCUCCCGCUACAGGGGCGGCCGAUGGCAGAUUAGCUAGUUGGUGGGGUAAAGGCCUACCAAGGCGACGAUCUGUAGCUGGUCUGAGAGGACGACCAGCCACACUGGGACUGAGACACGGCCCAGACUCCUACGGGAGGCAGCAGUGGGGAAUUUUGGACAAUGGGGGAAACCCUGAUCCAGCAAUGCCGCGUGUGUGAAGAAGGCCUUCGGGUUGUAAAGCACUUUUGUCCGGAAAGAAAUCCUCUUCGCUAAUACCGAGGGGGGAUGACGGUACCGGAAGAAUAAGCACCGGCUAACUACGUGCCAGCAGCCGCGGUAAUACGUAGGGUGCAAGCGUUAAUCGGAAUUACUGGGCGUAAAGCGUGCGCAGGCGGUUCGCUAAGACAGAUGUGAAAUCCCCGGGCUUAACCUGGGAACUGCAUUUGUGACUGGCGGGCUAGAGUAUGGCAGAGGGGGGUAGAAUUCCACGUGUAGCAGUGAAAUGCGUAGAGAUGUGGAGGAAUACCGAUGGCGAAGGCAGCCCCCUGGGCCAAUACUGACGCU